rnacentral:lncRNA from 10 species
UGCCGGCCACAAGUUGGGGAGGAGGAGAGACGCAAGGCCGUCAGAUGCUUGUCCUGGAAACCAACCAUGAGCUGUGAUGAAAUCCAGGCAACUGAGUUGUGUUUCAGCCCAAAGCAGCAAAUGGAAUCCAGCUUCAGGACCAUCAUCUGACAUAGGGGAAGAAGACUUACAUAGAAGGCCUAACCAGCACCCAAGAUCAUGGCUGGUGUCAGAGAAGGCUGAAUUGGGUACCAAGACAUUCCUUCUCUCCAGGUGGUAACAAGGACCCUCACAUGGUAUUAAUGAAGACCAAAUGUUUGAAUUUCUGCUUGACUUCUUCAAUUGUGAAAUCUGGAUCUAUGCAGUUUUGCAGAAUAAACAUGAACUGAAACUCUUACUGGUAACUGGCAC